CCUACGGGUGGCAGCAGUGAGGAAUAUUGGUCAAUGGGCGGAAGCCUGAACCAGCCAAGUAGCGUGCGGGAUGAAGGCCCUACGGGUCGUAAACCGCUUUUGCACGGGGAUAACACCCUCUACUUGUGGAGGUCUGCAGGUACCGUGCGAAUAAGGGCCGGCUAAUUCCGUGCCAGCAGCCGCGGUAAUCCGGAGGUCCUGAGCGUUAUCCGGAUUUAUUGGGCUUAAAGGGAGCGUAGGGGGGCAUUCAAGUCAGCUGUAAAAUCUCGCGGCUCAACCGCGCCCCGCAGUUGAAACUGGGCGCCUAGAGUUCACAAGAGGUAGGCGGAAUUCGUGGUGUAGCGGUGAAAUGCAUAGAUAUCACGAGGAACCCCGGUGGCGAAGGCAGCCUGCGGGGGUGAGACUGACGCUGAGGCUCGAAGGUGUGGGGAUCAAACAGGAUUAGAUACCCCAGUAGUC
rnacentral:rRNA from 1 species